AAGAGUAUCGCUGAAAGUAUAAGGAAUCCGUACCUGGAGUAAGCAAUGUAAUACACAGAAAUUAUUAUCCCAACAUAGUUCGUUAAACUCCUCCGUCCAAACUAAUUAAAAAGAAAAAUUAAUAAAUAAAUAAUUUAUCAAUUAUAUAAAAACUGUUAAAUUUUAAAACCAACAAUAUUCUUUCACUUUUAUAAUAAUUUAACUAUCACGUUUAAUUUGUAAAUAUGUACAUUUCUAAUGUGUAUCUAUAAUUAAUAAAAUAAUGUUAUUAGCAUGAUAUUAGUUACUUACUUGAAUAACUUAUCCAAAUUACACGAAGGUAUAAAACUAAUUUAUUGUACUAUAUAUGUCUUCCUCUAAAUUAACAUAACUAUAAUUCUUAUGUCCAGAUUAUACUGCAUGAAGAAUAUAAAAAAAAAUUAUAACUAUAGUCACAAUCUCUAUUAGAACAAAAGCCAUAAUGUAUUGUGCCUUUACUGAAGCAUGAGAUAGCCCACGAAAUAUAUUUAUAAUAAUUAUUAGUUUUCAUAUGGAUGCAAAAUACCUUCCUGCAGAAAGUAUUAGGAAUCUAACUUUUUAUAAUAUUAUUAAACAUACAACACCCUAACCAUCUAACUUUUAAAUUAUAACCAAAAUAAUCUUUAUUUAAAUACAAAAAGUUAGCAUACUAUGUAAUUCAAUGAUCUAAUUCAUACCUUUGUCUCAUCUGUUUUUGUUGACGUCGCUUCUCUCUUUCUCUUUCUCUCUGUUUGUAUAGAUAUAAUGAAGUAAUUAGGUUUAGCUAUUUCUUAAUUAGGUUGCCUCAAUAAACUUCUAAUUGGGUUAAAUUAAUAUUAAGUCCCAAAUUUUAACCACAUAAUAUUAUCGAUCACUUAGUAAUAUCUAUUAGCCCACACAAUUUAAAUGACUACUUUGACCUAAUUUAAAGCCAAAAAUUCAAACAAUAUAUUUAAAAUACAAACAUAAAUAAUUUUAUUUUUUUCGGGUAUUACAAUAUAAUUUUUGCAAAAGAAAAUUAGAUUGCUUCCGUGCAUCCACCACAGCCAAUGUGGUCCUAUCAAUUUCAUUAUCAUCUACCACAAGGGCAUCCUCAUUUAAAAUCCUUUUAAAGAUUCAAUGUAGUAAGAUAAAACAACAUGUUCUGUUGCCAUCUUUUAAAAUCAAUCCCACUGAAUUUUUCAGGUUUUUCACCAUGACUAACAUGGGUAGGAACAUUCAUAGGAACAUUGGUUGUAAUAGAGUUAGGCACAAUUGAAUUAGAUAAUUUUAUAAUUCUGUUAAAUACACAAUUUACAGAAUCACUUUAAUAAAAUAGAAACAAUCGAAUGAGAAAAACAAAAACUAAAUUUGUAAUUACAAUAAAGUAAAUCUGUUUUAAAUAUUAUUAAUGUUAUUUUUAUUUUAUUUUUAUAAAUCUGAAAAAAAAAAUUCUGUAAUGAAACUAAACAGAACUAUAAUAUUCUGUUUUAUAUAUAUUAAUAUAGAAUAAGAACUAAGAAAGUUCUGUUAAAAGAACUAUAAUAUUCUAUUUUAUAUAAUAAUAUAGUACAAGUACUACGGAAUUAAUAUAGAUAUAUUAAUAUAGAAUAAGUACUACGAUAGUUCUAUUUUAUAAAUUAGUAUAGACGGAGUACUCAGAAAUAACACAGAAAAUCUGCUUUAAGAUUGUUAUUCCUUUGUAUUAUAUACUAAUUAAAUAAACAGAAGUAGAAGAUAAACAAUUUUAUAAUAAUGACUUACUAGAUGCAAUUGACAAACUUUUAAAACAAAGUCAACUGUCGGGCAGUCUCUCCUUAAAGCAGAUUUCGUCCCCGCUAUCGGUGCUUACAGAUGGAAUAUUAGAUGUCUACUUCCCAGGAUAAAAUGAUCUUCAAUUCUCACAAGAAGUACUUCAAUGGAAGAGUUCCAUGAACUAACAAAAAUUUGAAUACUAUCUAUGACUUUUAAUGAAUGAAGAAUGAAUUUAGUUUUAAGAACUUGAGAAGGAUUGAAGUUAAAGUGAUUGAUUUGGGUAGAUUUGGAACCUAUUUAUAGGUUUCCAAACACCCCUAUGAAGAUAUACAUCCAUUUGAAAAGGUUACAUCCCUUUAAAAAGAUACAUCCCUUUAAAAAAGUAAAUCACUUUGAAAAGGUACAUCCUUUUGAAAAGGUUACAUCCCUUUAAAAAAAUACCUUUUCAAUUUAAAAAGAUAUGAACCAAAGGUCACACCCAGUGUUUUAUUUUUAAAAAAUAUUCUCAUUCAUUAAUAUAUAUAUAUAUAUAUAUAUAUAGGGAUUCCAUCCACAGUAACCGGUUGUUGGGGAGCAACCCAUUUUGGCCAGCCGCUACUACCUGUACCGGCCUUAGACAAUUUUUUUUAUAUAUAUAAGCCGAUACAGGUAGUAGCGGCUGGCCAAAAUGGGUUGUUCCCCAAAAUGGGUUAUAUAAAUGAAAUUUAUUUUUCUCUAUUUAUUAUUUUGAAAUAGUAAGGGUUGAUUUGAUUAAUGUGGAUAGUUAUGGGUAAAAUACGCAAAUAUUUCGAAUAAGCAAGUGGUUAUAAAAUAUUCAUUAUUNNNNNNNNNNNNNNNNNNNNNNNNNNNNNNNNNNNNNNNNNNNNNNNNNNNNNNNNNNNNNNNNNNNNNNNNNNNNNNNNNNNNNNNNNNNNNNNNNNNNNNNNNNNNNNNNNNNNNNNNNNNNNNNNNNCGGUUGUUGUGGAUGGAAUCCCAUAUAUAUAUAUAUAUAUAUAUAUAUAUAUAUAUAUAUAUAUAUAUAUAUAUAUCAAUAAGAACAAAGCCCAUCUUGUAGCAUAUCCACCUUACCCAUGAACCAAUACAUCAGCCUAUAAAAAAUGAUGGAAAAAUACCAAAUUUUAAUACAUGAGUGUUUUUUUGGAAAAAAAACAUAAAGAAAGAAAAAAAAAUAGAAGAAGGAACCUUGCGGGAGUAUGUAUCAGCAAGAGCAGCACCCUAUCCGCCAAAAAAUAUGAAGGAUUGCUCCGUAAUCGAAUCCACUAAUAAUACUAUUUGAGGCCUCAUUCUUUCUCCUAAGUUAAACCGACCUACUAGUUAUGAAGACCAAACCUAUGAGAUCGAAACACCGCAACAUUCAUUUAAAAAUUAACAGAUCUAACUGGAAAUAAGCAGAUCUAACAGGAGCAAGCAACGGAGAUGGGGACGGCGUCGUCGAGGCGAAGGCGUGGGGCUUGAUCUCUUAAAGGACUUGGCAUGGAUCCGAUUAAUAAGUAGAUCUAACCUGUUGUGCUCUGCCCGGAGUUUCUUCAUGCUGAUUUGAUGCGACCUUGGAGGAGAGGAGGAGAGGAGGAGAGGAGGAGGAAGACAAAGGAGAGACAAUUAAUGAAACCUAAAC
rnacentral:lncRNA from 1 species